UGAGGAAUAUUGGUCAAUGGGCGCAGGCCUGAACCAGCCAAGUAGCGUGAAGGAUGACUGCCCUAUGGGUUGUAAACUUCUUUUAUAAAGGAAUAAAGUCGGGUAUGUAUACCCGUUUGCAUGUACUUUAUGAAUAAGGAUCGGCUAACUCCGUGCCAGCAGCCGCGGUAAUACGGAGGAUCCGAGCGUUAUCCGGAUUUAUUGGGUUUAAAGGGAGCGUAGAUGGAUGUUUAAGUCAGUUGUGAAAGUUUGCGGCUCAACCGUAAAAUUGCAGUUGAUACUGGAUAUCUUGAGUGCAGUUGAGGCAGGCGGAAUUCGUGGUGUAGCGGUGAAAUGCUUAGAUAUCACGAAGAACUCCGAUUGCGAAGGCAGCCUGCUAAGCUGCAACUGACAUUGAGGCUCGAAAGUGUGGGUAUCAAACAGGAUUAGAUACCCUGGUAGUCCACACGGUAAACGAUGAAUACUCGCUGUUUGCGAUAUACUGCAAGCGGCCAAGCGAAAGCGUUAAGUAUUCCACCUGGGGAGUACGCCGGCAACGGUGAAACUCAAAGGAAUUGACGGGGGCCCGCACAAGCGGAGGAACAUGUGGUUUAAUUCGAUGAUACGCGAGGAACCUUACCCGGGCUUAAAUUGCAGAUGAAUUACGGUGAAAGCCGUAAGCCGCAAGGCAUCUGUGAAGGUGCUGCAUGGUUGUCGUCAGCUCGUGCCGUGAGGUGUCGGCUUAAGUGCCAUAACGAGCGCAACCCUCGUGUCCAGUUACUAGCAGGUUAUGCUGAGGACUCUGGACAGACUGCCAUCGUAAGAUGUGAGGAAGGUGGGGAUGACGUCAAAUCAGCACGGCCCUUACGUCCGGGGCUACACACGUGUUACAAUGGGGGGUACAGCAGGCAGCUACCGGGCGACCGGAUGCCAAUCCCGAAAGCCUCUCUCAGUUCGGACUGGAGUCUGCAACCCGACUCCACGAAGCUGGAUUCGCUAGUAAUCGCGCAUCAGCCACGGCGCGGUGAAUACGUUCCC
rnacentral:rRNA from 1 species